AACCCAUUAGGACCAUCAAAGCUUAAAACCCAAAAUUCAAACAAAUCCAUCAGGGCCUUCAUUCGUUCAUCUUAAAGUUGUUGUCAAUACAAAACCCCUUGAAGGGUUUCUUGUUUUGAUGGAGAGGGUUUUGAGGGAGAGGGAGACUGUGUAGAGUACCAGCCUCUAAAUCUAUUGCUUCUUCAUCUUCAUCAUGCCAUUCUUCAUAACUAGUUUUAAAAU
rnacentral:misc_RNA from 1 species